ACCUGCUUGGCAGAAAAGACGCAAAAGGAGGAAGUUAUUGAGUGGGAUGGCGUAAUCAGGAAAAGCGGUUCCACUGUCAGUGCGUUUGCCACAUGUUAAGAUGAGCGGGCCAACUACAUUCGCAACACACGUGACAUGGUUUCUCACGCGAAAACAGGCCGUCCGAUUGCUUGGCCCCAACGUGGAUGAAACCCUGCCGAAACCAUUCGGAUGGAUUGAGCAUAUUAUCUUGACCGUCCAUCAUAGUGGGCAACACCUAUUUGAUGGGCCGACUUGCAUAAUUUCACGCCAACACCCGCCGACUGAUUCCAUGGGUCCAUGGAGGAUUUGGUACAGAGCUGAAAAUCAUGAUUUAUCUUAAUGAUCCUAAUUACCAACAUCUAGCUUGCGGGAUCUGACGGUCAAUAUUUUCUGGAGAGUCCACCAAUUUGAUGGGUGAAGCGGAUGGACAUUGAUUGGCGUAACUGCAUAAGCUGCACUUAACGCACAUUGUAGCCUUAGGCAAAUAUAAAAAGAUCAAGAGGAAAAAGUAGCGUUCUACCAUUCUCCUCUUGGAGAAGAAGAGAAGAACUGGGGGAAAAACAUCAUCAUCACAAGCAUUUUUAUAUCAUAGAAGUGCAUGUGGUUUGAAGAACUAGAAGACUUGUAGCAUUUAACUUCCAUGCCCCUUUCUUGAAGGAAAGGGGAGCAUGUUUGAAGAUCUGGAUUCAAUCUAGACUUAUGUGGGUCACGGCAAUAGCAAACGGACCCAAGCUACAUCAAGUCAAAGCAACUAAUGGUGAGGCAACAAGGUGCAAUUUAAGGAAAAUCGGCAAGAAUUCGGAGAAUAGCCAAAUAGCCAGGUAAAGGGACGGCUUUGAUGUACGGAUGUACAAAUCUUGUUACAUUCAAGGAACUGAAGAUGGCUUUUUUGAAAAAAAGAAGACAAUCAAAAGAAGAGAAAAAGAGCCCCCGCCCUUUUUUAAUAAGUAAAAAUAACGGCAUGGAAUGAGAAUCGAAGGGUCUGGUGGUCCCCACCGGCAGUUGUACACGCACAUUCGGCCGUGGAAUGAGGUGAUCUCAUCAGGCUGACCACAUGUCCAUCUUCCAAGUGGGGGCCACCUUAUGAACCGCUCAGAUUUGUCCCACGCAAUUGCAAGAAUGUUUCCACGUGAUGCGUGUAAAGGUCAGUGUGGGACUGGAAAAUCUACACGCACACCUCCCUUCGCAGGACAAGAUAUAAGAGAUGGUGCGCAUGGUGGGCCCUACGUAAAUGGACCAUGUUCAAGCCUCUAGUCAGUCAGAUCAUUAGGCCGGCGCCUUUCUGGACGGUCUGAAGCAAGAUUUGCCUGUUUCACAUCCAACAUGCAUGGCCCAUCUGAUGAACGGAUAAGAAUAUUUAUUGGCGUGGUUACUUUCAUGAUGAUGCGGUUAUUUU